rnacentral:rRNA from 1 species
GAUGAACGUGACAGAAUGCUUAACACAUGCAAGUCAACUUGAACUUCGGUUUGGGUGGCGGACGGGUGAGUAACGCGUAAAGAACUUGCCUCACAGAUAGGGACAACAUUUGGAAACGAAUGCUAAUACCUGAUAUUAUGAUUUUAGGGCAUCCUAGAAUUAUGAAAGCUAUAUGCGCUGUGAGAGAGCUUUGCGUCCCAUUAGCUAGUUGGAGAGGUAACGGCUCACCAAGGCGAUGAUGGGUAGCCGGCCUGAGAGGGUGAUCGGCCACAAGGGGACUGAGACACGGCCCUUACUCCUACGGGAGGCAGCAGUGGGGAAUAUUGGACAAUGGACCAAGAGUCUGAUCCAGCAAUUCUGUGUGCACGAUGAAGUUUUUCGGAAUGUAAAGUGCUUUCAGUUGGGAAGAAAAAAAUGACGGUACCAACAGAAGAAGUGACGGCUAAAUACGUGCCAGCAGCCGCGGUAAUACGUAUGUCACAAGCGUUAUCCGGAUUUAUUGGGCGUAAAGCGCGUCUAGGUGGUUAUAUAAGUCUGAUGUGAAAAUGCAGGGCUCAACUCUGUAUUGCGUUGGAAACUGUGUAACUAGAGUACUGGAGAGGUAAGCGGAACUACAAGUGUAGAGGUGAAAUUCGUAGAUAUUUGUAGGAAUGCCGAUGGGGAAGCCAGCUUACUGGACAGAUACUGACGCUGAAGCGCGAAAGCGUGGGUAGCAAACAGG